rnacentral:lncRNA from 1 species
ACUCCGCCCGAUUCCAAAAGCCCAGGGGGUGGGCCUCGCCCUUCCUCUCCCUCCAGGUUUAAUUAUCUGAAGAGUCUUGGACUUUCAUUUCUUGUUUUUUGCUUGUUUGCUUGUUUGUUUGCACCUGGUUGAUGUAUAAGUCUUGGACUUUGGGAGACCCAAAAGAGAAGGAAGGUGUUGGCAAUAUCCUUGAAGAGACUAAAAGAACUCAGAACAACACUGAACAAGCCAGCAGAGCCAUCAACUCACCCCUACAGUCUCCAUACACAGACUCCAUGAAAGCAUUGGCCAUCAGCUCUCACUGGUUUCUGCCCCAAAUUCACACACUCCCUCCUAUCACCAAAGCCACCCGCCACCGCUGGCCUCCUGCAUGCUGUGGGAGGAGAGGAGGGCAGACAACGUUGCCUCCCCUGACUCCCAUCGCGCGGGCUUCAAACACUCAGUGAGACAACCAUGGACCCUAGGGAUGCAACAGUGAAGGAGACGCAGCCUUUCAACACCUGGCAGGGCAGAGACACUUCAACAGUCAUUGCCAGCCCCAGUGGACAAUGUAAGGAGGCCACCAGCCAAGAAAUGCUGUCAGUGCCUGGAAGCUGGAAAGGCAAUGAAAUGGAUUUUCCCCAGAACCUCCAGGGAGAAUAUGGCACAGCUUCUACCUUGAUUUUCACCCAGUGAGACACAUUUUGGAUUUCUGACCUAAAGAAUUGUAAGGCUGCCUGGAUCCCCAGAGUUUGUCUGGAAAGCCUCUUGAGAUGGGGUUAUGUGCUCCGAGGAUCCCAGGAGGAAGGAUGGGGCAAGAGCAGACAAACCUAUGCCUCUACAGCAGCUGUACCGUUGUCCUGGGAGUGAGCCCCAGCCGUGGCUCAAGGCACACGUGCCUCCAGAGGACAAUCUGGGAUGCUCAGGGGACAGAGAGGCAGAGGGACUAUCAGGGUGAAGCUGUCUUUUUCACUUGUUUGGCACUCAGCCCAGGGCCUGGAUUUAUCCUGCACAAAAUGAACAGUGCAGGGCCCUUCAUCUGGGGAAAGCCUAACAGUGGCACCCAAGCAGAGCUAGGAGGUCCAGGUCCUCCAGUGGCAGGGAGGGAGGGAGCUCCUUUCCAGGUACUUUCUUUCCUAGAUAGAGGAUCUUGGUGACUCAUCUCCCAGUUCAACUGUAAAGGCUAAGGGCCUCCUUGAAGUUUCCUUCCUUAUGAAAAUGUCCAUAGCAAGUUUGUCACUUAGGAAUGUUUUUCAAUGAUAGGAAACAGAAAAGCCAACUAGUAGGAGAUGAAAUAAGUUGAGAUUUUUUUUUUUAAUAGCAAGAAGUCUGGAUAUUGUCAGUAGCCGGCAUUGGUUUAGGACACAAUAAUAUUGGGGAUGAUGUCCUGUAUUUUUCUUGGCCUUUUUCUUACAGUCACAAUGUGGAUGCCAUGGCUCAAGGUAUCACAUCCCUAUUCAAGGCAGGAUAUAGGAGGAAGGGAUGGUGCCAGAUACAUCUGUCCCAUUUAUUAAAAAGCAAGCUUCUCCAAAACCCAA